AGUGAACGCUGGCGGCAGGCCUAAUACAUGCAAGUCGAACGGCAGCACAGCAGAGCUUGCUCUGUGGGUGGCGAGUGGCGGACGGGUGAGGAAUACAUGGGAAUCUGCCCAGUCGUGGGGGAUAACGUAGGGAAACUUACGCUAAUACCGCAUGCGCCCUUCGGGGGAAAGCCGGGGACCUUCGGGCCUGGCGCGAUUGGAUGAGCCCAUGUCGGAUUAGCUAGUUGGCGGGGUAAAGGCCCACCAAGGCGACGAUCCGUAGCUGGUCUGAGAGGAUGAUCAGCCACACUGGAACUGAGACACGGUCCAGACUCCUACGGGAGGCAGCAGUAGGGAAUAUUGGACAAUGGGCGCAAGCCUGAUCCAGCCAUGCCGCGUGAGUGAAGAAGGCCCUCGGGUUGUAAAGCUCUUUUGUCCGGAAAGAAAAGCGCCGGGUUAAUACCCUGGUGUCCUGACGGUACCGGAAGAAUAAGCACCGGCUAACUUCGUGCCAGCAGCCGAC
rnacentral:rRNA from 1 species